rnacentral:rRNA from 1 species
CCCCUUGUUUUACAAAACAUGUCUUAAUGUUUAUAUUUAUUAAGUCUGGCCUGCUCAAUGAUUAUUAUAAUUUAAUAGCCGCAGUAUAUUGACUGUGCGAAGGUAGCAUAAUCACUUGUCUUUUAAUUGAAGGCUUGAAUGAAUGGUUUGAUGAGGGAGUUGCUUUCUUUAUAUUAAAUAUUGAAUUUAAUUUUUUAGUUAAAAAGCUUAAAUUUUUGAAUGGGACGAGAAGACCCUAUAGAAUUUUAUUAUUUUUUUAUUAAAUUUAUGAUAGUUUUAUUGAGUUUAAUUAUUAAAUAAUUUUGUUGGGGUGACAGUAGGAUUUAAUUAACUCCUAUAAUUUAAUUUUUAUUUAUUAUUAUAUUUAAGAUCCCUUUUAUGGAUAUUUAGAUUAAAUUACCUUAGGGAUAACAGCGUAAUUUCUUUUUAGAGUUCUUAUCGAUGAAGGAGUUUGCGACCUCGAUGUUGGAUUAAAAUUAGAUUUAAGUGCAGAAGCUUAAUUUCUAGGUCUGUUCGACCUUUAAAUUUUUACAUGAUUGGUUUUCAAACCCG